rnacentral:lncRNA from 1 species
CUUGUUCUCUUGCUUAAGAAACUCGAUUUCCUGUCUGAGCGAUUUCCUAUUUUCUUUCAAUUGUUCUUUUAUCAAAUCAACAACUGAUUCCAGUUUCACUUUUUCUUUCAAAAUUUGGGUUUGACUCGUUUGAAGUAAAUUUACCUUGAAACGUAUUGAAUUUGCCCGUGUUGCUUUACGAAAUUCUGCAUCGUCCAAAUUGAAGAAAGGAAAUUUUUCACACGUUUUACGUUGAAUAAAUAAGGAAAGUCUUUCAAAAUCUCUGUUUAACUUUUUCUUUGAUUUUAUUCUAAUUUCUGCACAUUGUUUAUAAAAAUGUCCUGUUUGUCCACAGCGGAAACAUCUUACUGUUUUAUCGAUAUUUGAGUUGGUGACACGAUGAAAAUCCGAGCGUAUUGGAUAAUUACCGUUUUCUACGAAACAUGGCUGAUUGUUCAUAUUGUAGUCCUUCCGAAGAUCAGGUGGACACCACCUAUUUAAUCUUUGUUUCAAUUUGUAAUCCGUUGUACAGUGGUAGAGCGUAGGUAUGAUCUUGUGUACAGUUUGUCUAAUAAGUUUGAAACUAAGCAAACUGCCCGGGUCCUCCACCAAUUUAUAGCAGGGGUUUUCGUCGUUCCUGUUAUAUUUAGAAUUCGGGGGGAAAGUCACUGGAUAAAGUCAACAAAACUAAGUUAAGCUUU